AACUUGUAGCAAUGUAUCACUUGGUUCUGGCAUCGAUUAAGAACGCAGCGAAAUGCGAUAAGUAAUGUGAAUUGUAGAAUUCAGUGAAUCAUCGAAUCUUUGAACGCACAUUGCGCCCGCUAGUAUUCUGGCGGGCAUGCCUGUCUGAGCGUCAUUUCAACCCUCAAGCAACAUCUGCUUGGUGUUGGGGACCGGCCGUCAAACGCCGCCCCCUAAAUCUAUUGGCGAUCUCGCUGUAGCUUCCUAUGCGUAGUAGUAACAUCUCGCAUGUGGAGAGCGGCGCGGUCAUGCCGUAAAACACCCAACUUUUUUCAGGUUGACCUCAGAUCAGGUAGGAAUACCCGCUGAACUUAAGCAUAUCAAUAAGCGGAGGCU
rnacentral:misc_RNA from 1 species